AUUGAACGCUGGCGGCAUGCCUUACACAUGCAAGUCGAACGGCAGCACGGGAGCAAUCCUGGUGGCGAGUGGCGAACGGGUGAGUAAUAUAUCGGAACGUGCCCAGUCGUGGGGAUAACGUAGCGAAAGCUACGCUAAUACCGCAUACGAUCUAAGGAUGAAAGCGGGGGAUCGCAAGACCUCGCGCGAUUGGAGCGGCCGAUAUCAGAUUAGGUAGUUGGUGAGGUAAAGGCUCACCAAGCCAACGAUCUGUAGCUGGUCUGAGAGGACGACCAGCCACACUGGAACUGAGACACGGUCCAGACUCCUACGGGAGGCAGCAGUGGGGAAUUUUGGACAAUGGGCGCAAGCCUGAUCCAGCAAUGCCGCGUGCAGGAUGAAGGCCUUCGGUUGUAACUGCUUUGUUACGGUAACGAACGGUAGAGC
rnacentral:rRNA from 1 species